UCUCAAGGUGGGUGGCGCAACUACGCUGUAGAUGUCUAUGGGGUCCGGUAACCUCUUAACACUAGGUGGACUGUGAGCUCGCCCAUCCAUAUAGGUUAUUAAAAAAGCACGGUGUUAUUCUUUAUCCAUUGAAGUCGUUCGUGAACACGUAUUUUAAUAUGUACUUAUGCGUCUUCGGAAUUCGAACGCCGGCAUAGUCGGAUCGCUCGAUAAUAGUCGGAUCGCUUUUGGUAAUGACGACUUCAAACAGGUACAUAUCGAGGGGUGAAAGGCUAUUUGGUUUAAGCGACAUUUUUGCAACUUUACAGGAGAGCCAUUUAAAGUUUAAAAUUUUGGAAAAAAAAUCAUAACAAAAAAACUUCUUCAGCAAUUUGAAUGGAGUAAACUUAAUUGAAAUUCAAUUAAAAACAUCAAGUUGUUGAUGCUAAUACCGAAUAAAACGGACCUUUAAUUACAAAGAUAAACGUCGCUUAAUACAAAUUGCCUUAAGCCCUUAUUUUUCAGAGUAUGGAAUAAAGAUUUAAGUGACUUCAUAACCACAAUUGGCUACAGGGGAAAAAAAAUAAGCGACGCUGCAAUAUAUUUUCAGAGUAAGCCAAAAAGCAUGAAGUGACUUAGCCCAAAAUUAAUAGUAGCAAGCUAUUUAUCUCAACUACCAAUUUAGAUUAAAAUGACUGACAGGCGAAUUUACUUAUGUGACAUAUAAUAUUGAAAAUUUACCGUUUGAUGUUACAUUUUUUUACGUCUAAUACUAUCAGUGGCUGUUAAAACAACCUAAAUAUAUCGCAAUCACUUAAAAUCUCAGACAGACGUUUUACGUAAACACUGGCGGCGACUGCGCGUCAUGUCAUUCCUCGAUGCACUCUGGAGUUCGACUGAAGCGCCUGCGCGCGGCAGUCCGGUUGAAAGAUCACGAUUUUUAACUCCCGGGAGAUGAAAUAAAUAUGGUAUCAUGCGACAUGAAUAAAAUGUAUCAUAUUAAAAUUUUAUGAUUGAAAGACC